GCUGAGCAGUACGAGAGAAAGGAACUGGAGCCAGGAGCGUCCCAAGAGAAGGGAGAUGCUUCAGCACCAGCCUCGGUAGAGUUGGGGAAUGGACGCGAAGGUCUCCUCUGACCAAAACAAUUCUGCGACCCUUUUAUUGUACCCACAGCAGAGUGGCAGAAGCAGUUGCCGAGUUUAAAGAGACACCGAAACAGGCCCUUAAAAACAUUUUGUAAGGCCUCCUUUUCCCAUCCCGGUCUCCGUUUCUCAUCUGGAGCCUCCGGUAUUCGCUGGCAACCUCUCCCAGCCCCAAAGGCUCUUGAACUCGACCAGGAAAGCGCUGCCUUACAGGCACCAGGGAGCGGCUCCCCGCUGAGCCCAGAGGCAGCAGCAGGGAACCUGCGGCCGACGCCAAGCCGAGGAGGUGGAGGACGGGAUCCAGCACAGCCAUAGUUACAGGUGGAUCUCUCUGGGUAUGGAAGGGUCUGUCCCUAAUUCAUCAAAAUGAUUCCACCCUGCACAGAGAGCCCAUCAGCUAAUUACAGUGCCUGGUGAGGAAAAGCCUCCUGUUCCCACCGCAGAGCAGCAUUUCAGCUCCAGCUGCCCCAGUGCACCUAGGAACUGCAGCUACAACCAGGCAGUGAUUUGUUUCCUGCUGGAGCACCGUAAAAGACUCCCAAGCAAUGGAGGGAGAUAAAGGGCAGAGUGCUAAAGCCACCAGCGCAGUGGGAGACCUGAGGAAAAGCUGGCAGAGCUGGGCAGAGGAUCACAUUGAGUAUCAGAGGAAGAACCCUUUCAGCAGCAAUGACAGGCUGGCAUCAAAACCUGGGCAUACUCAUAGAGGAGAUCCCACCUACGGGAGGCCUCCUGAAGGCUCUCAGACUGAGCAGCGAGGGAAAGAUGCUCACUCACACGUGGGAAAGGAGGUGGAAGAGCUGUGCCUGAUCAUUAGAAGCACUGGACAGGUGGGAGAAGAUGGGCACGUGAGUGUGACCUUUGGGCAGCUGUUUGAAACAUAUGUGACUAUCUCCAACAAAGUAGUGGGAAUCCUGUUAAGAGCCAGGAAACAUGGGCUGGUUCAUUUUGAAGGUGAAAUGCUCUGGCAAGGAAAAGAUGAUGAUGUGGUCAUCACUUUACUACAAUAAGGCUUUGUUGCCUAAGGAAUUCUGCUGCACAGUUCCAUUUGGGGGGAAAAAAACCCUAUCUAGGUUUUCAUUACAGAAUUUCAACAGGGCAUGGGAGCAGGUGAGAAAAUGAGAAGCAUGAAAAAAAACAUUUUUGUAAAGCUGGCAGAGCUUUGGGCAGAAAUCACAAAUAAUGAACUAAUGCAGCCUGCUGCCACUGGAUUGUCCUUUACUAGCAUCUACCACCAAGCAUUCCACAGUUCUUCACUCCACUGGCUUCCUGCUGUAGGUUACUGACAGUAUCAAUAAUAAACUUGCUACCAUACAACACUGAUCCUUGCAGCUUAUGAAAUGUUUGCUGAGGAGGAAUUCUUACACCUCUUCCAAGAAAAAAAAAGAGCCUGGUAGGUAGCAAAAGUGUAGGUUUGAUUUUCACGUGGUGAAACUGAAUAAAUGGAAGUGAUUUUCAUGAAGCAUAUGAAAAUUCCCAGAUUUAUAGGAAUAGGACAGCAAAGAUAUUUGUUGGUACUAAAUUAGUUGUAUGUGGUGUGUAUUAUAGAGAGAUGCACUAGUCCUGGUAUUCAGUAGUCUGUUCUUAGCAAACCUGCAGUGUCUCUUGUUCUUUGUCCUGUCUCACAUCUGGUUUACUUGCUGUGUCAUACCCUAGAAGAGCACAAAGCUCUGCGGACUUUUGGUGCAUUCAGUGCUGUAUCCUUUGAUACCAAGGGAUGUGGGGUGCCACAAUGUGAAGAUGUGAAAGGCAACAGAAACUGUACCAGAGGGGCACUGCAGCCACAGAAUCAUAGGAUGGUUUAAUUUGGAAGGGACCUCAAAGCUCAGCCAGUUCUAGCCCCCCACCAUAGGCAGGGACACUAGAACAGGUUGCUCAAAGCCUCAUCUGACCUAGCCUUGAACACCUCCAGGGAGAGAGCAGUCACAACCUCCCUGGGCAACCUGUUCCAGUCAUGAGAGGGGAAAAAUAAGCUGCUUUCUGUUCUUUCACCAAGAGAAGGAGAGAAGAGCUCCUGUAGUGCUAAAUGCAGAAAUAAAGUCUAGUGGGGCAGUCCCAAACCUUAUUUAUCUGAGGCAGGGCUGGGCUGUGCUUUCAGAGCACACUUGUGAGUUCCUCAAGCCAGGAGUAAAAAUAAUCAGCCCAUUAAAAUUGAGAUCAAAAGAUGACCAGCAACAACUUCCUUCAGGGUUCUUGCAGGGGAAGACUGAUUAACAACAACACAAAGAAAGGCAGAAAAAGCACUGCUUAUAUACAACAGCUGUAGCAAUGCUCUUAAAAGAGAACCAAGACCUGCAUUUACAACAGUUCCCACCACAAAAACUGUAUAAUUAGAGCUAUAAAAGUCUAUUUUUCACUACUGCAAAUAAAAACUUAGAUGUGGUGUUAACUACAUUACUUGCAGGGUCUUUAAAGUAAGAUCCUCUCUUGCCUCAGAAGGAUAUGGAGAGAUUUAUCAGGUUGGUAAGUGAUAUUAAAAGUGGUAAAUUAUUUUAUGCUGUAUAUAAACCAGAAGUGUUUUGGCUAAAAGCCUAAAAGAAUGUUCUUUAGUUUUGACAUUUCUAUACAAUGUGCAUCACAGUGAGUCAAAUAAAAAUACAGAUUUUCUUA